AUGGCAACCACCGCCGCGUCGGCCACAGCCGGGUGUUGGAGCAGCACGAGCUCCAGCUCCGUGCUACAAAUGUUCUCACCGCCGCUGAUGAUCACGUCCUUUGACCUGUCCUUUAUCUCUAUGUACCCAUCCGGGUGCACGACGCCGACGUCGCCCGUCAUGAACCACCCGCCCUUGAAGGCCUUCUCAUUAGCCUCCGAGUUGUUGAGGUACCCCUUCAUGAGGCUGCUGCCGCGGAGCACGAUCUCACCCAAGGACUUGCCGUCGCGCGGCACGCUAGACAAGGUGUCAUCGUCGACCACGACAUUGGCAUCGGCGAGAGACAGGAUGCUGACCCCCUGCCUCAGUGAGUCCGUAGGAGUGCGUCACCUUGAAACCGAUCCGCUCGACACGGUCCAGCAGGGCGGCCGUCGGCGGGGCGCCGCCAGUGAGGACGUGGACGGGAGCCGCGAGCCGCGGUGCCUCGCCGGAAAGGAGGAUAUUGAAUACCACGGGCGCGCAACACAUGUGGGUGACGCCAUAGUCGGAGAUGGCACGGUAGAGGUCGGCGGCGCGGUUCUCGCGGAUGCAGACGUUGACGCCGCCGCGCGUCGCCACUCCCCACGUGAGGGUCCACCCGUUGCAGUGGAACAUGGGGAGCGUCCAGAGGUACACCGGCUCGGUGCCCACCCCCCACGACAGCAGCUGGGCCAUGGUGUUGAGGUACGCACCACGGUGGCUGUACACCACGCCUUUGGGCGCCGACGUGGUACCCGAGGUGUAGUUGAGCGCGACCGCAUCCCACUCGUCUUCGAGCGAGGGCAGCUCCGCCGCCGGGUCUCCUUUGCUGACCAGCGCCUCAUACUCGAGCUUGAAGAGGCCGAGCCGGACGCCGGUGGGUCUGUCGAUAUCAUCGAUGACGGCGACAAGCGGCACGGGCGCGCCGGCAUCGGCAACGAUCUGGAGCGCGUCGUGAGCGAGGCGCACGUACUCAUAGUCGACGAAGAGGACCUUGGUCUGGGCGUGCCUGAGGAUGACCGCCACCGCCUUGGCGUCCAGGCGCGUGUUGAUGGUGUUGAGCACGGCAGCAGCCAUGGGCACGGCGAAGUGCAUCUCGUACAUUGCCGGCACGUUGGGCGCGAGGACGGAGACGACGUCGUUCUUGCGGACGCCGAGGGAGACGAGGGCGGCGGCGAGGCGGCGGCAGCGCUCGUGCGUUUGCCUCCACGUGAACUUGAGACGCCCGUAGACGACCGACGUGCGGUCGCCGUAUACUGCACUGGCGCGCGGAAGGAAGCCAACCGGGCUAAGUGGCACGUAGUUAGCCGGGCGCUUGGGAAGCUUGUCCAUUAUAAUUUCCUCCACCACCGUACGUACCUUCAGCUCAAUAUAUUGUGUGUCGUAUCCUCAGGCCUUAAUUUGUGGAGAUGA
rnacentral:rRNA from 1 species